UAAUACUAGCGGUCCAAGUCGCAGCCAUUUUUAUUGGGUCUAAAACAUCCGUAGCUUGCUUGAUAAGUUUCUUGUGAAAUUUUAUCUCUUAAAGAUAGAGCGUGCAAGAAGUACUAUCAAGCUAGAGACUGGAAGACGUAGGAAGUAUGAUCAAAGUAGUGGUAAAAUGCUUUAAUCUUGGUCAGACUCACAAUAGCGAAGGCAUCCUACGAGGACAGUUCUGACAGUAAAGGAUGAAGGCUAGGGGCGCAAAACGGAUUAGAUACCCGUGUAGUCCUAGCAGUAAACUCUGCACACUAAACAUUAGUACCUCUUCGAGAGGUAUUGGUGCUGAAGGGAAGCCGAAGAGUGUGCUACCUGGGAAGUAUAGCCGCAAGGCCG
rnacentral:rRNA from 1 species